rnacentral:rRNA from 1 species
GUCUACAGCCAUGCCACCCUGAAGAAGCUCGAUCCCGUGUGAUCUCAGAAGGGUCGGACCUGGUUAGUACUUGGAUGGGAGACCGCCUAGUAAGACCAAGUGCUGUAAGCG